GAAGCGGUGGCUCAAUGGUAGAGCUUUCGACUCCAGUUAAAUUCUGGUUUAUACGGAAAAAUUGCAAUCGAAGGGUUGCAGGUUCAAUUCCUGUCCGUUUCA
rfam:Lachancea lanzarotensis strain CBS 12615 genome assembly, scaffold: LALA0S06